AUGAACGCUGGCGGCGUGCCCAAUACAUGCAAGUCUAGCGAACAGACGAGGAUCUUUCUCCUCUGACGUUAGCGGCGGACGGGUGAGUUACCCGUUGGUGACCCACCUAUAAAACUGGGGUCACUUUGGGAAACCGAAUGUAAUACCGGCUUAUAAAUUUAACCGCAUGGUUCAAUGUUUAAAGAAGGCUUUGCUAUCACUCAUAGAUGGUUCCGCGGUGCAUUAGCUAGUUGGUAAGGUAACGGCUUACCAAGGCAACGAUACAUAGCCGACCUGAGAGGGGGUUCGGCCACACUGGAACUGAAACACGGUCCAAACUCCUCGGGGAGGCAGCGGUGGGGAACCUUCCGCAAUGGGCGAAGUCCUGACGGGGCAACGCCGGGUGAGUGAUGAAGGUCUUCGGAUCGUAAAACUUUGUUAUUAGGGAAGAACAAAUGUGUAAGUAACUAUGCACGUCUUGACGGUACCUAAUCAGAAAGCCACGGCUAACUACGUG
rnacentral:rRNA from 1 species